rnacentral:rRNA from 1 species
AUUGAACGCGGCGGCAUGCCUUACACAGCAAAGUCGAACGGUAACAGGUCUUCGGAUGCUGACGAGUGGCGAACGGGUGAGUAAUACAUCGGAACGUGCCCGAUCGUGGGGGAUAACGAAGCGAAAGCUUUGCUAAUACCGCAUACGAUCUACGGAUGAAAGCAGGGGACCGCAAGGCCUUGCGCGAACGGAGCGGCCGAUGGCAGAUUAGGUAGUUGGUGGGAUAAAAGCUUACCAAGCCGACGAUCUGUAGCUGGUCUGAGAGGACGACCAGCCACACUGGGACUGAGACACGGCCCAGACUCCUACGGGAGGCAGCAGUGGGGAAUUUUGGACAAUGGGCGAAAGCCUGAUCCAGCCAUGCCGCGUGCAGGAUGAAGGCCUUCGGGUUGUAAACUGCUUUUGUACGGAACGAAAAGACUCUGGUUAAUACCUGGGGUCCAUGACGGUACCGUAAGAAUAAGCACCGGCUAACUACGUGCCAGCAGCCGCGGUAAUACGUAGGGUGCAAGCGUUAAUCGGAAUUACUGGGCGUAAAGCGUGCGCAGGCGGUUAUAUAAGACAGAUGUGAAAUCCCCGGGCUCAACCUGGGAACUGCAUUUGUGACUGUAUAGCUAGAGUACGGCAGAGGGGGAUGGAAUUCCGCGUGUAGCAGUGAAAUGCGUAGAUAUGCGGAGGAACACCGAUGGCGAAGGCAAUCCCCUGGGCCUGUACUGACGCUCAUGCACGAAAGCGUGGGGAGCAAACAGG